rnacentral:rRNA from 1 species
UCAGUAACACGUGGCUAACCUACCCUUAGGACCGGAACAACCCCGGGAAACUGGGACUAAUUCCGGAUAAGUGAGGAGGCCUGGAAUGGUUUCUCACUAAAAGGGCGUUAGGAGCAUGCUUCCUUUCGUUGCCUAAGGAUGGGGCCGCGGCCGAUCAGGUUGUUGGUGAGGUAAAGGCUCACCAAGCCUAUAACCGGUACGGGCCAUGAGAGUGGGAGCCCGGAGAUGGGCACUGAGACAAGGGCCCAGGCCCUACGGGGCGCAGCAGUUGCGAAAACUCCGCAAUGCGCGAAAGCGUGACGGGGUUAACCCGAGUGCUAUCCGCUGAGGAUAGCUUUUUUCUGGUGUAAUGAGUCAGACGAAUAAGGGGAGGGCAAGACUGGUGUCAGCCGCCGCGGUAAUACCAGCUCCCCGAGUGGUAGGGACGAUUAUUGGGCUUAAAGCGUCCGUAGCUGGCUUGACAAGUCUUUCGUUAAAUCCAGCGACCUAAUCGUUGGGCUGCGGGAGAUACUAUCUAGCUUGGGGGCGGAAGAGGUCGACGGUACUCUCGGGGUAGGGGUGAAAUCCUAUAAUCCUGAGAAGACCACCAGAGGCGAAGGCGGUCGGCUAGAACGCGCUCGACGGUGAUGGACGAAAGCUGGGGUAGCAAACCGGAUUAGAUACCCGGGUAGUCCCAGCCGUAAACGAUGCGGGCUAGGUGU